GGUCAUAGCUCAGUGGAAGAGCAUCUGUCUGGGAUGCAGAUGGCCCUGGGUUCAAUCCCCAGCAUCUCCA